GUGCUUGCACUCUCUGCCGGCGACUGGCGCACGGGUGAGUAACACGUAUGCAACCUGCCCUCCACAGGGGGACAACCUUCCGAAAGGGAGGCUAAUCCCGCGUAUAUGGUACCGGGGCAUCCCGGGGUCAGGAAAGGGUAACACCGGUGGAGGAUGGGCAUGCGGCGCAUUAGGCAGACGGCGGUGUAACGGACCACCGUACCGACGAUGCGUAGGGGUUCUGASAGGAAGGUCCCCCACACUGGUACUGAGACACGGACCAGACUCCUACGGGAGGCAGCAGUGAGGAAUAUUGGUCAAUGGGCGGGAGCCUGAACCAGCCAAGCCGCGUGAAGGAAUAAGGCCCUACGGGUCGUAAACUUCUUUUGUCAGGGAACAAAAGCGAGUAUGUAUACUAGUCUGAGUGUACCUGAAGAAAAAGCAUCGGCUAACUCCGUGCCAGCAGCCGCGGUAAUACGGAGGAUGCGAGCGUUAUCCGGAUUUAUUGGGUUUAAAGGGUGCGUAGGCGGUUCGGAAAGUCAGCGGUAAAAGCCCGGGGCUCAACCCCGGCGAGCCGUUGAAACUGACGGACUAGAGAAGGCGAGAGGUACGCGGAAUGCGCAGUGUAGCGGUGAAAUGCAUAGAUAUUGCGCAGAACUCCGAUUGCGAAGGCAGCGUACUGGCGUCUGACUGACGCUGAGGCACGAAAGCGUGGGGAUCGAACAGGCUUAGAUACCCUGGUAGUCCACGCAGUAAACGAUGAAUGCCGGCUGUUUGGGAUAAAUGAGUCCUGAGCGGCGAAGCGAAAGCGAUAAGCAUUCCACCUGGGGAGUACGCCGGCAACGGUGAAACUCAAAGGAAUUGACGGGGGCCGCACAAGCGGAGGAACAUGUGGUUUAAUUCGAUGAUACGCGAGGAACCUUACCCGGGCUCAAACGCAACGCGAAUACUUUUGAAAGGAGGUAGCCAGCAAUGGCGCGUUGCGAGGUGCUGCAUGGUUGUCGUCAGCUCGUGCCGUGAGGUGUCGGCUUAAGUGCCAUAACGAGCGCAACCCCUACCGCCAGUUGCCAACAGGUAAAGCUGGGAACUCUGGCGGGACUGCCGGCGCAAGCUGUGAGGAAGGCGGGGAUGACGUCAAAUCAGCACGGCCCUUACGUCCGGGGCGACACACGUGUUACAAUGGCAGGUACAGCGGGAAGCCACCGAGCGAUCGGGAGCGGAACCCGAAAACCUGUCUCAGUUCGGAUUGGAGUCUGCAACCCGACUCCAUGAAGCUGGAUUCGCUAGUAAUCGCGCAUCAGCCACGGCGCGGUGAAUACGUUCHCCGGGCCUUGUACACACCGCCCGUCAAGCCAUGGAAGCCGGGAGUGCCUGAAG
rnacentral:rRNA from 1 species